rnacentral:tRNA from 1 species
CUGGGGCUGGGGCUCAGUGGUAGAGCGCUUGCCUUGCAUGUGUGAGGCACUGGGUUGGAUCCCCUGCACCAUA